rnacentral:lncRNA from 1 species
GAGAGAUCACGUUUUGGGAAGCUGUUCGGUCUAGAAAUGAACCUGGAAAGAAAAGAGGUGGAUUUUAAAAAAAAUAAACCUGGCAUUCUGGACGCUUCUUGCCAGAGUUUAAAACCGCUUUGAAACCGAUUCGCCUGUCUGAACUGAUUUCAAGAGAGGAUGCACGGGCUGCUGUCGUUUGGUGAAGACAUUUCGGUCCGAGACGCGUGAAGGCAAACCGGUUGCAAAGGCUGAAUUGAGCCGAAAACUGGAUUUAUCUUAUAUCGGUGGAAGAUCUCUGCCUGGUCCUCUAUCCACCCACCCAUCAAAAGAUGCUCUCCGAUCGGCUACAACCUCAAAAGAUUCCUUUCCAAAUAUAAGAUAUAGCUCCUCUCUCUUCCCUUUUUCUUUUCUCUCUCUUCCCUCGUUUACCUACCUUCCUUCCUUCUUUCCUUCCUCCCAACCAAUCUUCCUUCCUUCCUUCCUUCCUUCCUUCCUUCCUUCCUUCCUUCCUUCCUUCCUUCCUUCCUUCCUUCCUUCCUUCCUGUCUCAGCCACGGCCCCGACAUAGUGCCAGCUUGCCGUGUUCCCUUUGCGCGCAACUCGCCGCUGUCUGGUCCCCUGCGCGUGUGAACACACCUCCCCGAGUUCCCUUCAGGGCUGGGCGAGACAAGGCGUGCUUUUCUCCCUUUUCCUUUGUGAGACGCGCGCGGGGCUCUCUUCUCCACGACCUCGGCUCUGUCCCGCGAUCGGAGGCGGACGGAGAGACGCCCGUCGUGGAAGCCACCGAAGCCGCGUCGGAGCUUGGAUGCGUUUGGAAUUCCCCGCUGCGUGGGAAGCGAAUCGAACCCUUUCCUCUUUUAUUUCAGGGGCUAAAGCGGGCGGACUGGCAGGGUUAGGGCUGGCGCUGGCGACGCCCGGGCAGUGGCUCUGUUCGUGCUUUGGAGGGCACGCGGGCAGAGAUCCAAACUUCCUCCGGCGAAGGCGCUCCGUGCGCCCGUCUAGGNGCAAACCGAGAACUGGAGGCGCCGCCGCCGCGAUCUUCCGCUCACCUGCGCGCUUUUCACCUGCGCCCCUGUUCCUUCCGGACGAGGCAGCUUGCCACCCCUCACCCUUCGCAGGGGGAAAGCGCCUCUCCUGAGCCUCCCCGCCCUGCCCUUUUUAUUUCUGUUCGGCUUUUGGGAAACGCCAACGGGGGAACACAAAGCAGGGCGAAGCAUCUCUCCUCCCGACCGAGGGAGAGACGCAAAAGUGUCCUAAACCUUAGGACGUUCCAAGCGCCCAGCGAUGGGCGGGCGCUUUUCGGAGGGGGCGCUGUGAGUCCUGCCUCCCCCCGCCGCCCAAGCCCUGGCGCUCUGCAUCUCCCUCCCCCCCCGCCUCCGCCCCCCCUUCUGGGAGUUGAGGAGGGGUCUGCAAGACUCGCCAAGUCCCUUUCGCGCUAGCAGGUGAUCUUCCCUCUCGCUCCCUCGGUGAGCUCAGGGUGGGCGCAGGAGAGAGAAGCCGCUCUACCCCUUUCUCUCCCCCACCCCGGAAAGCGAAGCCUGCCUCUGAGUUGGCGCCCCCCACCUCCUCUAAAGAGAGAGCGCCCCCCCCUCUUCUCUCUCUCUCCAGCCUUGGCUGCUUUCUGCUCGCCCAAGUCUCCUUUGCCACGUCAGGGGAGGGGAGGUCAUUAAUAACCAAUUAGAGAGGUCACUGGAGCGCAUAUAUAGGCGACUCAAGAUUUGGCCAGGGGACUCAGCAGUCGGGGCGCCCGCGUGCAGCUCUCCCGGUCCCUCCUUCCUUCCUUCCUUCCCUCCCUCGCACGCGGGGACCCCCAGGUCUCGGACCCAGCCGCCCCCCACCCUUGCCCCCCACCCCUCGAGCUCCGGCCCGCGUUCCCCGCCGCCGCCC